AGCCGGGUCCCACGCAACGGACGGUUGUGAACCCCGUCAGGCCCGGAAGGGAGCAGCGGCAGCAGCUUUUGCCGUGUGCCGUGGGAGUGCCUGGCUGUC
rnacentral:SRP_RNA from 1 species